UAAUUGGCUAUUUUUUAUUCAUUUUAUCGAUCAUUGGAUUAUAAGAUUUAUUAUAGUAUACAUCUCAAGUAGUAUUUAUACUACUUUACAUACGAUCCAAACACCUUACUGUAGUAAAUGUCACAUUUCUCCCCAAGCUUUUGUACUAUUGUUUAUAUACAUUUUGCUUCUACAUUUAACCCUGUAGUGCAUUGUUAUUGAUUUUACUAAAAUUUCUGUUUUUCUUUGUAUCAUGUUUAUGAUUUUCUCUACUUCCUGGAAUAUUAAUAGCUGUUUUAAUGAUCUUGUCUGCAGUCAUUCUCUUGGGGCAGUUUGUACCAACAAGGUAUAUUUGGCAUUGCCUAGAGAUACUUUGUGGAGAAGGCAAUGGCACCCCACUCCAGUACUCUUGCCUGGAAAAUCGCAUGGACGGAGGAGCCUGGUAGGCUGCAGUCCAUGGGGCCGCUAAGAGUCGGACACGACUGAGCGACUUCACUUUCACUUUUCACUUUCAUGCACUGGAGAAGGAAAUGGCAACCCACUCCAGUGUUCUUGCCUGAAGAAUCCCAGGGACAGGGCAGCCUGGUGGGCUGCUGUCUGGGGUCACACAGAGUCAGACAGGACUGAGGUGACUUAGCAGCAGCAGCAGAGAUACUUUGAGUGUCACAUCUGGGAACAAUGUUGCAUCUAGUGGAUAUAGGCCAGGGAUGCUGCUAAAUAUUCUAUUAUAUAUGCAAGAAAUAAGUACCACACCCAGAAUUUCAGCAGUACCAAGGUUAUGAAAUCUUGGUCUGGGGCUCAUUUGGUGCCACUGUUGAGGCAUUACCAUUCUAAGAACUCUGCCUAAUUCUUUGUCUCUUAGGAAAUUUUUCUGUUGUGUCUGAUGAAAGCAGACUGUACCUGGACCUAUGUUAGGAUGUUUCCACUAAUUCUUGUCUAGUGACUUUUUUCCCCUGGCCCUGUUAGAUUCUUUAUAUACUUUAUGCAGAUCGGUCUAAUAUGAUUGAUUUCAGGGAAUCAUUGUAUAUACCUCCAGAGCGCUUCCUCCUCUCUGUGCAUCUCUUUCCUCUUUUUUUUGCCUCACAAAUUCUAGUCACAUAAACCUACCUAAACUUUGAACUGUCUCCUAAGUAAAGCUAUUGCGCUAUUUUGUUGUCCCUUCCUCUUGCAUUAUAAUUUGGAAACUCUUCAACCAGUGAGCUGUGCACUUAGAGCACUCAUUUGUGUUUUCUCUCAGUCCAUGGUGUCUUGAAAAUCAGCAGCCCACAAUCAUGAUGAAAACCUGCAGCCUGACAGAUACUGGAGGAGCCAGAAGAAGGAGUUCCCUGGUGGCUCAGACAGUAAAGCGUCUGUCUACAAUGCAGGAGACCUGGGUUUGAUCCCUAGGUUGGGAAGAUUCCCUGGAGAAGGAGAUGGCAACCCACUCCAGUACUCCUGCCUAGAAAAAUUCCAUGGACAGAGAAGCCUGGUAUCCAUGGGGUCGCAAAGAGUCGGACACAACUGAGCAACUUCACGUUCACGUUCUUCAUUUAAAAAUGUUGGGUUGGUCCAAAAGUUCAUUUGUUUUUUUCCAUAAGAUGGCUCUUGUUAAUGCUUAGUUGUCCUUAACAUUGUUCAAAACAAUUUUGUUAGAUUAUAUUGUGACAGCUGUCAUAUCAGCAUGCAUUAAAAACUUAUCAAAAUUGGUGAAUUUUUGUAUAGCCAUUUUAAUAUUGAAGAUGGG
ensembl:lncRNA